rnacentral:rRNA from 1 species
GACGUAGGGCGCGAGCGUUGUCCGGAUUUAUUGGGCGUAAAGAGCGUGUAGGCGGCCAGACAAGUCUGCUGUGAAAACUCGAGGCUCAACCUCGAGCUGUCGGUGGAAACUGUCUGGCUAGAGUCCGGAAGAGGAGAGUGGAAUUCCUGGUGUAGCGGUGAAAUGCGCAGAUAUCAGGAAGAACACCUAUGGCGAAGGCAGCUCUCUGGGAUGGUACUGACGCUGAGACGCGAAAGCGUGGGGAGCGAACAGG